rnacentral:rRNA from 1 species
GCACAACGCGAAGAACCUUACCAGGUCUUGACAUCCCUCUGACCGGUCCGUAACGGGACCUUCCCUUCGGGGCAGAGGAGACAGGUGGUGCAUGGUUGUCGUCAGCUCGUGUCGUGAGAUGUUGGGUUAAGUCCCGCAACGAGCGCAACCCCUAUCCUUAGUAGCCAGCAGUACGGCUGGGCACUCUAGGGAGACUGCCAGGGAUAACCUGGAGGAAGGCGGGGAUGACGUCAAAUCAUCAUGCCCCCUUAUGAUCUGGGCUACACACGUGCUACAAUGGUGACUACAAAGGGAAGCAACCCCGCGAGGGUGAGCAAAUCCCAGAAAGGUCAUCCCAGUUCGGAUUGUAGUCUGCAACUCGACUACAUGAAGCUGGAAUCGCUAGUAAUCGCAGAUCAGAAUGCUGUGGUGAAUACGUUCCCGGGUCUUGUACACACCG